rnacentral:rRNA from 1 species
UACGGAGGGUGCGAGCGUUGUCCGGAAUCACUGGGCGUAAAGGGCGCGUAGGUGGCCUGUGGAAGUCUGCGGUGAAAGCCCGGCGCUCAACGCCGGGUCGGCCGUGGAUACUCUCGGGCUCGAGCUUACUAGAGGCAGAUGGAAUUCCUGGUGUAGCGGUGAAAUGCGCAGAUAUCAGGAGGAACACCGAUGGCGAAGGCAGGUCUCUGGGCAUUAACUGACGCUGAGGAGCGAAAGCAUGGGGAGCGAACAGG